rnacentral:misc_RNA from 1 species
AGUUUUUUUUUUCUUUCUUUUGAAAAACAGUCUAAGACUAGAGAUUUUAGUCUGGCUCUUAAAUAUAAAGAAAAUUAUAAGGUAAAACUAUUCUCCGUAAAUACCUCCACUCAUCAGUCAGAAGCCAGCAGCAAAGAGUGCUUUCAGGUGCAUCAGCAUAUAUAUUAAUACUUCAUGUCAAAGACUACGAAAAGAAAAUAGUGUGCGUGUGUGGUGUUGACUAGUGGCAAUUUGACAGAUAUGAACAGUUAAAGCAGUAGGCCUUUUUUUAGGGGGGAAAAAUAUAAAAGCAGGGCUCCAGAAGUUAUUAUGACAAUAUAUUAGGACUUUCGUAUUAGGCCUUAAACUUGGUGCAUUGUCAAGUGCAGAGUCUUAAGAGUGGCCAGUUUAGAAAACCAUUGCCAUUACUAGUUGAGCAUGCAAUGCUGAAAAAUGUUUUUCAACCCUUUCUUUUGGAAGGAUAGCUCUAGUUUGAAUCUGUCCCAGCACUAGGUGCAAGCAUAACUUUCAAACAACUCCUGGUGCACCCAUUCCAUUUUGAUUAUAAUUUUAUAUUUUAAGUAAGAAGCUUAGUCAUUAUAUAUCCCCCUUCGUUUUGGAAGCAUAGCCCUAGUUUGAAUCUAUCCUAGCACUAGGUGCAAGCAUAACUUUCAAACAACUCCUGGUGCACCCAUUCCAUUUUGAUUAUAAUUUUAUAUUUUAAGUAAGAAGCUUAGUCAUUAUAUAUCCCCCUUCGUUUUGGAAGCAUAGCCCUAGUUUGAAUCUAUCCU